CGAGUGCCAUUCGGCCGGUCGCUCGCAGGCACCAUGCCCGUCCCACACAGAUUCGCCAUGUUUCUGCUGCUCUACGGACAGGAGGUGAUCGACCAGCCCGCCCCCUGGUGACACGGUAGUGGAGCACCAGGGGCCGGGCACCACGUUCACCAAACCUGCCGGACUGUACCGUUGACGACCUGCACGAAUGAACAUGACAAUCUACGAUAAAAAAAAAAAUGAAUUGCUGCCAGAGAGGAAUAAAAAAAAAGAAAAAACCGUUGUUAUUGGUGCAUUCGCUACGACCGUCAUCAGGGUGAAUGGAAAUCAGUUCUGAAACCAUCAUCCUCAAGAUCAGCUGACUCCAUCGCUUUAAAGAUGCGACGAAAACUAGAAUGUUUAUCGAUAGCCUUCGUGCGAGUCUAAACUUUCCCAUCUUCAAGAGUAACGGAAAUGCCACAUUCAUGUACGCUUAAGUUGCAAGUCCCUUCUCUAACUUAAACCACGUUCAAACACGACUGAUUCUAUCACUAUAAAUCAAGCCGUCCCAGUUCGUCUAAAUAUUACCAUCACACCCACACACCUUGUCACCAUACCCUGACCACGACCGGGUAUGGUGCCACGAAGUCUCCGCUUCAGAUCGAUCUAUGCGACAGCCAUCAUUGCGACCAUGGCACCGGAACUGACCUUAGAUAUUGCCUUACUGGGUCAUAUGGACUGAGAUUAAUGUUACGCUCGGAUGGUGCAUCGCUGACCUUGAGAGUUGUCGCGAUAAAAGAGCUUGUUUGUCCUCCAUGCUGGAGGGAGAGGUUAACCUUGGAAUCCAGAAGGAAUGUUCUGGUUUUAGUAUGUCUAUACACAGAAUAUCACCGAGCUUUCAGUAGGCGUCAUAUAUAUAUAUAUAUAUAUAUAUAUAUAUAUAUAUAUAUAUAUAUAUAUAUAUAUAUAUGACAUAGUAUCAUAGUUAUUUGUAAAUAUGAAAUUCUUUCUUCUUAGGGAACCUGCCGUUACUCUCAAAGAGGCAUUUCCCACUACUCAGACGGUGGAGUGGUGAGGCCAUGACUUCUUUGUGGUAAUGAUACCAGUAAUGAUCCUUUGAAGGUCCUCUCGCGCCCUUCCCCCCGCCCGCCCCGCGUCAGAUACCCACAAAGCAAGUCGGGCGAGGAUGUGAAGGGCAAGGACGUCACACUUAUGUCUUUAAGUUGAACUUUCAUGACCUUUUGGGUGUCGCCUCGCCGUCCGCAGCGACACCCUCAUGGUGAUAAGGCCUGUCCAUGGUACCGGAUAAGGCCACCGAGAUCCUGCAGGCUAAUAGGAAACAUCCUUUCUCCAAGAAGAAACGUCUGCCGUAGAGCUUUCGAUGAAGCGUUCCUUGUCCAGGUACAAAGCCGUUGCGCCACAAAUAGCACGAGUUACCUCUCUCCUCUGUUCACAAUUUUGCCUGAAUGCCCAUGAUCCUACAAGGUUCCUUAGCGUAGCGCGCAAGGAAGAAAAAUACAGGUCACCCCGUGGAAAGGCUCCGUCUGAUCGAUCCCUGAAAUCCACCCGGAGAUCCAGGCCGCGAGACUUCACUAUCCACCAGGUUGCAAAAAGUGACAAAGAGAUGACGUCUGGGAAUUUCACACCGACAUUCUCUAAUGAUAGUCCGACAUCGCAGUUCAUAAUUAUUCUUCGAUUACCUAAACGGAAGAAGUUUACCGCACAAUUAGUUUAUUCUAGAUUCGUGCAAUUCAAGGAAUUAUACACGGUGGUCACGAAACGUCACCGACUUACAAAACACCAGUGUAAGGAAGACAUGAAGGUGAACAGGAAUGUGACCUAAUAUACCACAUCAAAAUAAUAAUAAUGGAAAAUAUAAUAAGACCAUCACAUCACCAAGCUCCACGCGAAAGAGCGAGUGAGCAUAACUCACCGUCAAUACACAGGUGAUAAAAACGAUUGCAUCAUAGCUGAUCAAUACUAAGAGGAUGACUCAGCACCGAGAAGACACAUAUAAAAAGACACGUAUCUGAGACCCUAUUACCAUCGGAGGAAAAUCAAACUUGAAAUGUAUUUGAAAGAGGUUGUAUGAGAGCUUUGCUUAGUCCAUUAUCGCAAAUUGGAUUGUCAAAAUUCAGCUUUCAAAAAAUAAAAUAAAAAACACCCAUUCAGAUAAAAGAAUAUCAAAACACAGCUUAUAAAACACCCUCUCACUCAGAUAAAGCAAUACCAGAAUCUAGCUUAAAAACACCUACGUAGAUAAAGAAAAAAAAUGAAUCACUACUUUUUUUUUUUUUUUUUUUUUAUAAGUCCUUCGAAAAUAUGCUGUAUCGACAGACUCUGGAAUCACACACAGCCUUCGGUAUUCGACAAGCAAUACCACGAGGUCUGGGAAUAGGAAUGCCAAUAAAUUCCUGUGGUAUAUGCAUUAUACCAUAUGUGAAAUUUGACUUGUCCAGCGUAUUAACAAUCUUCGACAUUUUCUCGACAAUGUUGUGAGGUUUGUGUAAGACAGGUGAGCAUUAAUUCGACUGGACGUAUAUUUUUUUUUCAAUAGAUGUAUAUAAACAAAAAAAUAUACGUGAUUCAUUCACUGUCCCUACUUUCGUCUAUCCAAAAUUCGACCGCUAUGUAUGAAAGAGGUAUAUGAUGCUAAUAAAGACAGAAUAUAUAA
rnacentral:lncRNA from 1 species